rnacentral:rRNA from 1 species
CGUGUAGGCGGCUCAUCAAGUCUGGUGUGAAAACGCAGGGCUCAACCCUGCGGUUGCGCUGGAAACUGGUGGGCUUGAGUUCUUGAGGGGAAGCUGGAAUUCCAGGUGUAGGGGUGAAAUCUGUAGAUAUCUGGAAGAACACCGGUGGCGAAGGCGAGCUUCUAUCAGGGGACUGACGCUGAGGCGCGAAAGCGUGGGGAGCAAACAGGAUUAGAUACCCUGGUAGUCCACGCUGUAAACGAUGUGCACUAGGCGUGGGGCACGUACGUGCUCUGUGCCGUAGUUAACGUGAUAAGUGCACCGCCUGGGGAGUAUGCUCGCAAGGGUGAA